AGUCGACGGGAAUGUUUCGCUGAUGCGAUUUCGGUCAAUCUUGAAGCAUUUUAGUGGCGGACGGGUGAGUAACGCGUGGGUAACCUGCCCUGUACAGGGGGACAACAGUUGGAAACGACUGCUUAUACCGCAUAAGCGCACAGCUUCGCAUGAAGCAGUGUGAAAAACUCCGGUGGUACAGGAUGGACCCGCGUCUGAUUAGAUAGUUGGUGAGGUAACGGCCCACCAAGUCAACGAUCAGUAGCCGGCCUGAGAGGGCGAACGGCCACAUUGGGACUGAGACACGGCCCAAACUCCUACGGGAGGCAGCAGUGGGGAAUAUUGCACAAUGGGGGAAACCCUGAUGCAGCGACGCCGCGUGAGUGAAGAAGUAUUUCGGUAUGUAAAGCUCUAUCAGCAGGGAAGAGAACAAUGACGGUACCUGACUAAGAAGCCCCGGCUAACUACGUGCCAGCAGCCGCGGUAAUACGUAGGGGGCAAGCGUUAUCCGGAUUUACUGGGUGUAAAGGGAGCGUAGACGGUAGACCAAGUCUGAAGUGAAAGCCCGGGGCUCAACCCCGGAACUGCUUUGGAAACUGGUAAACUAGAGUGCAGGAGAGGUAAGUGGAAUUCCUAGUGUAGCGGUGAAAUGCGUAGAUAUUAGGAGGAACACCAGUGGCGAAGGCGGCUUACUGGACUGUAACUGACGUUGAGGCUCGAAAGCGUGGGGAGCAAACAGGAUUAGAUACCCUGGUAGUCCACGCUGUAAACGA
rnacentral:rRNA from 1 species